rnacentral:rRNA from 1 species
UGUAGCGCCACUGACGCUGAUGCUCGAAAGCGUGGGUAUCGAACAGGAUUAGAUACCCUGGUAGUCCACGCGGUAAACGAUGGAUGCUCGCUGUGUGCCUAUGAGGUACGUGGCCAAGGGAAACCAUUAAGCAUCCCACCUGGGGAGUACGCCGGCAACGGUGAAACUCAAAGGAAUUGACGGGGGCCCGCACAAGCGGAGGAACAUGUGGUUUAAUUCGAUGAUACGCGAGGAACCUUACCCGGGCUUGAAUUGCAGAUGAAGGAUCCAGAGAUGGUGACGCCCUUCGGGGCAUCUGUGAAGGUGCUGCAUGGUUGUCGUCAGCUCGUGCCGUGAGGUGUCGGCUCAAGUGCCAUAACGAGCGCAACCCCUCUCUUCAGUUGCCAUCAGGUUAAGCUGGGCACUCUGGAGACACUGCCACCGUAAGGUGUGAGGAGGGUGGGGAUGACGUCAAAUCAGCACGGCCCUUACGUCCGGGGCUACACACGUGUUACAAUGGGUGGUACAGAGAGUUGGGUGCCCGCAAGGUCACUCUAAUCAAUAAAUCCAUCCUCAGUUCGGACUGGGGUCUGCAACCCGACCCCACGAAGCUGGAUCGCUA